GGUCGUGGAAUAAGAGCUGGGCAAGACCGGUGCCAGCCGCCGCGGUAAUACCGGCAGCUCAAGUGAUGACCGAUAUUAUUGGGCCUAAAGCGUCCGUAGCCGGCCACGAAGGUUCAUCGGGAAAUCCGCCAGCUCAACUGGCGGGCGUCCGGUGAAAACCACGUGGCUUGGGACCGGAAGGCUCGAGGGGUACGUCCGGGGUAGGAGUGAAAUCCCGUAAUCCUGGACGGACCACCGAUGGCGAAAGCACCUCGAGAAGACGGAUCCGACGGUGAGGGACGAAAGCUAGGGUCUCGAACCGGAUUAGAUACCCGGGUAGUCCUAGCUGUAAACGAUGCUCGCUAGGUGUGACACAGGCUACGAGCCUGUGUUG
rnacentral:rRNA from 1 species